CAAUAGCGUAUAUUAAAGUUGUUGCGGUAAAAAAGCUCGUAGUUGGAUUUCUACCGAAGAUAGCCGGUCGGGUCUUCGACCUUGUAUCUGGUUUUGUCUUUGGUAUCCUCAUAGGGAACGUUUCUGCGCUUUAUUGCGUGGUGCGGUAUCUAUGACUUUUACUUUGAGGAAAUUAGAGUGUUCACGGCAGGCAAACGCCUUGAAUAUAUUAGCAUGGACUAAUAACAUAGGAUCUUCGUCCUAUUUUGUUGGUUUCUAGGGCUAAGAUAAUGAUUAAUAGGGAUAAUUGGGGGCAUCUGUAUCAACGCGUCAGAGGUGGAAUUCUUGGAUUGCGUUGCGACAAACUACUGCGAAAGCAUUUGCCAAGGAUGUUUUCAUUGA
rnacentral:rRNA from 1 species